AGCAGUAGCCACGGUAAUACGAAGGGGGCUAGCGUUGUUCGGAUUUACUGGGCGUAAAGCGCACGUAGGCGGAAAUUUAAGUCAGGGGUGAAAUCCCGAGGCUCAACCUCGGAACUGCCUUUGAUACUGGGUUUCUUGAGUCCGGAAGAGGUGAGUGGAACUGCGAGCGUAGAGGUGAAAUUCGUAGAUAUUCGCAAGAACACCAGUGGCGAAGGCGGCUCACUGGUCCGGAACUGACGCUGAGGUGCGAAAGCGUGGGGAGCAAAUGGGAUUAGAUACCCCCGUAGUCCCUGUCUCUUAUAA
rnacentral:rRNA from 1 species